rnacentral:rRNA from 1 species
UUCGUAGGCGGUGUGGCAAGUCGGGAGGUGAAAUACUCUGGGCUUAACUCAGAGACUGCUUCCGAAACUGCUGUGCUUGAGUGUGGGAGAGGCGCGUGGAAUUGCAGGUGUAGCGGUGAAAUGCGUAGAUAUCUGCAGGAACACCCGUGGCGAAAGCGGCGCGCUGGACCACUACUGACGCUGAGGAACGAAAGCUAGGGGAGCAAACAGGAUUAGAUACCCUGGUAGUCCUAGCCCUAAACGAUCGGGACUUGGGGUGCCGCACGUUCGUGCGUCGUCCCGGAGCUAACGCGUUAAGUCCCGCGCCUGGGGAGUACGGUCGCAAGACUGAA